rnacentral:tRNA from 1 species
GCCGAGGUGGCGAAACUGGCAGACGCGCUGGCUUCAGGAGUCAGUGCCCGCAAGGGCUUGAGGGUUCAACUCCCUCCCUCGGCA